AUGUUGAGAUACACCAACUGUGAAGGCUAGUCUUUGACAAUUACCAAUAGUGUCCACCGUCUUUAAGAAAAGGGAGCUUGCAUCAGUGUUUUUGUUAUCUGCAGAUUGGGGCAUAGCACCUUGUAGACCCUAACAAGGUGCUUGUACACGUAUAAAUGAGUCCACAGCUUUGAAUAACCUGUAUACCCAUAAUGAUAUCAUAAUACAAAUCAUAAUUCACAUACAAAAUCUUCAUUUUAUUUUUUGUGAAAAACAAUCACAAUACAAAUCAUAGAGUAAAUCCUGUACACAAGAACAUCACUCCUUGAUAACAAAAACUUCAUUUUAUUUUCUAUGAAAAAAACGGUCAGCAAAUUUGGAGCGAACUCACAGACAACACAUGGAAGCCUCUUCAGCAUUACAGUUCAAUCAGUGUACAAAAAUAUUGUGCCAACUCUAAAUUUACAUACAUCCUAUAUUUACAUUACAAUCAAUUUUAUUGAUAAAGCCAUGGAAUUUAUUUCAUUUUUCAUCAUGUUUUAAGUAACAAAAUAACAAGAACAGAGCACCUACUUAGUUAAAGAAAUUUAAUUUUCAUUUGUAAACUUCACAACUAAUUUUUUCUUACAGUGUGAGGGCGCUAUAUGUCAGAGGUUUUGGUCAUAAUACAAGGAUGAGAGCAUGCAGAGAGGAUCUCUGGUAGUCAUCCAGAAAGACUGUAAUUAACGUGCAUCAAGAUGACAGACACUCCAGGUUUGGCUGCUUCGACACAAGAUACACACAGCGGACCCUGAAAACAAACAAUACAACGUAUCACAGCACCAGAUUCUUCAGCUUCUAGCAUCCCAGGAGCAAAGUGGACCCUCUUAUUAGCCUUAGGAGUGGAUGAAGGAUUUUUAGUCACUCAGUGAUGCUCAUGGAAUUUAUCAUGCAAGGGAACAUGUCCAAGCUGGUAGAU